AGCAGCCGCGGUAAUUCCAGCUCCAAUAGCGUAUAUUAAAGUUGUUGCAGUUAAAAAGCUCGUAGUUGAAUUUCGGGGUUAGUAAGUUGGUCAUGCCUCCGGUAUGCACUGGCUUUACUGAUUCCUCCUUCUUGAUGAACUGUAAUGUCAUUAAUUUGGUGUUGCAGGGAAUCAGGACUGUUACUUUGAAAAAAUUAGAGUGUUUAAAGCAGGCAUACGCUUGAAUACAUUAGCAUGGAAUAAUGAAAUAGGACGUUUGAUCCUAUUUUGUUGGUUUCUAGGAUUGACGUAAUGAUUAGUAGGGAUAGUUGGGGGCAUUAGUAUUCAAUUGUCAGAGGUGAAAUUCUUGGAUUUAUUGAAGACUAACUACUGCGAAAGCAUUUGCCAAGGAUGUUUUCAUUAUCAAGAACGAAAGUUAGGGGAUCGAAGACGAUCAGAUACCGUCGUAGUCUUAACCAUAAACUAUGCCGACUAGGGAUCGGAUGAUGUUAUUUUAAUGA
rnacentral:rRNA from 1 species